AUAACCUUUGAUAUUCAUCAAGAAAAAACAAAUAAAAUAUGCUUCUCAUAAAGGUAGAACAAAUAAUUAAUUGCAUGAAAACAAAAGAUUGGGAGGGUUUUCGGGGAAUGGGAAAUUUGGCCUUCUGAAGGUCGAUACAUCCAUUGUAUUAGAUAUUCUCAUACAUCCCGUCAUCGACCUGCGUGAAUUAAAGUUUUUUUUAAACAUUUGUUUUGGCUGGGUGCCGGGCGAAUGGGCGGCAUUUAUCCAUCUUGUUGUUAUAAUAUGUUGAUUGUUUUUGAAUAAAUUGUGUUUUAUAUAUAAUUAUAGAAUUUGUUAUGUAUAUUUAAUUGUUUUUAAAGCUGAAUUAUACUGGAUAGUUGAAAAGUAGCUUUCUAAUGCAUUUUUGUGUGAGAAAGAUGUAUAAUUUUUUCAUUGUGGUGUAUCUAGUGUCGUGCUAGUGUAAGCUUCUAUGAUUAGAUUAUACGUAAAAUUGAAUUGUCUUGCGAGAGAAUUUGUUUUUACGACUGUAUUUUUGCUUUAUUUUCAGAGAGUGCGCUAACGCAUGAAAUCAGCAGCCUAAAGACUACGGCCGCAAGGCUAAAAUUUAAAGGAAUUGACGGGGGCUUACACAAGCGGUGGAGCAUGUGGUUUAAUUCGAAACAACGCGCAGAACCUUACCAAUCCUUGCAAUAUACAGAAAACAACUGUUAUAAGUUGUCUUUUAGUAUACAGGCGCUGCAUGGCUGUCGUCAGUUCGUGGCGUGAGCUGUUGGGUUAAGUCCUAGAACGAACGCAACCCUCUUGACAUGUAUUACACAAAGGUGUGUAAUCUUGUUAGACUGCCAGUGACAUACGGGAGGAAGGUGAGGAUGACGUCAAGUCCGCAUGGCCCUUAUGGGUUGGGCUACACACGUGCUACAAUGGCGAACACAAAGGGAUGCAAGAUGGCAACAUGGAGCAAAUCCUCAACUUUCGUCGUAGUUCGGAUUGUUCUCUGCAACUCGAGAACAUGAAGUUGGAAUCGCUAGUAAUCGUAGAUCAGCAUGCUACGGUGAAUUUGUAUCUAAGCCUUGUACACACCGCCCGUCACAUAAUGGGAGCGAGAUCUGCACAAAGUAUUUUAUUGCUACACAUAAGCAUAUGUAUAAUGUAUUAUUCAUAAGGUGUGUACUGCAUACAAUAUUACUGCAGGUAUUGUGACUGAUAUGAAGUCGUAACAAGGUAGCCGUAGGGGAACCUGCGGCUGG
rnacentral:rRNA from 1 species